AGCCAGUGAUGAUUUUCCUAUUUUCUGACACCUCGUAUGAACGCUGAAUGUCAGCGGUUGAUUCUACUUGCUUGUCUGAGGCUC